rnacentral:tRNA from 1 species
GCCGGAGUGGUGGAAUUGGUAGACACGCUAGCCCUAGGAGCUAGUCCCGCGUUCGCGGGAUGGGAGUUCGAGUCUCCCCUCCGGCA